GGGUCGGCUGGCAUAUGCCCUAAAUAGAAGCUGAUUGAGUUGUGGGGAUUUCCUGAGUUCAAGGUACCUGAGUAGAGUGAGGCAGGACAAGUACCCACAGUCUGGAAUCUGGUCAAGCUUUAUAUGUACACUGCUCUACUGUGGGUGGCAGUACAGAACGAGAACUGGACGCUUAGCUGGCUUGCUCCUCACUACUCUCUCACAGGUUUUCAUCUUGGACCACACUGGUUCUGAUCAAGGCACAGUCUAGUGUGUUAUAAGUUUCUCUCUAUGGGUUGGUUGAUGAGUUAGGAUUCUCAACGGAUACUGUUUUGUAGACCAUUGUGUGCCUCCAUUUUGAGCCAUGCCUUUGGCAUCACCAAGUCAUGUGAUCCCUCCAGACUUCUUCCCAACAUUUAUCAUCAUGUAUAAACCUUCCAUCCAUCUCUGAGAAUUCAUUUUCCAGAAAGUAGAUCAUUGUUGGAUGGCAAUGACAUCUUUGGGCCCUCAUAAGCCAAUCCUGGUGGAGGAUAGAGAUCUGUCCGUCAUUGGAGGAAAGAGUCUCUUCUGGUUCGUGAUGAGCAGAUUCCAGGCGACUUUUAUCAAAUGUACUAAGUUGAUCUAGACCCUUUGUUUGUUAAGUAAGUGCUCAGAAAGUUUAUUUUACCCUCCUCACCCACAUUUGCACAAAAGGCGUAAGAAGUCUAUAGAAGUCUUUUGGGUCAUUAGAGCCCUGCUUGCGUCUUUAGCAAGGUACUGCUCUGCGAAGAAAACUCUGGACAGUGGCAUAUCUGCAAUGUGUCCCUACAUCUUCACGAUGCUCCUAUGAGACCAGGAAAAAGAGAGAGCACACAAUCACAUUAAAAUAUAAACUCUGUUGUAUGACUGUUGGGCUGUGCACAGUAGAGUGGUCAUUCUUCAGAAAUACCAUUUGAACAUUUUUCAGCUAUGGAGAAAAACCCUUUGGCCAUCAUCUUCACCUCUGGAUGUGUUUAUAUUUGUGUCACAGAACUUGAGCUUUUGAGUCUCCAGGGGGAAUCUUGGUUAUGUUACUGCAGGAUGUGCAGUGGGUCUCCUUGACUGACUUCUGUACAUUGAUAGCACAGGUGAUGCUUUCUAUAACUCGGCGUAGGUCCCUGAAGGUGUAGUUGUGUCUCUCUCCCUCAGUACCCAGGAUCUUCAUGUUCUCUGUGCUCACCCCAUUCUCAAAGUUUUGUAAAACUUGAUCCCCAGUGAUGGUCUGUCCACAAGUGACCAGGCAUUUGAUGUGUACUUGAGGACACCCCUGACAGGUUGCUUCCAGUUUUUACCCCAUUGUAGGGAGGAGAACAAAGACCUGGAGAUGUCAUGUUGUUCCAUAGUACAGGCCAUACAGAAGAAAACUGGGCAACCAAUAGCAGAAUUUCUGAGUGCUCAAACCCUGUCAUUUUCUACAGGAUGUCUAGCAAGCCUCUGGACAGGCAGCAUGGCAGAAAUCAACUCUUUCCAAAAAAAAACAAAAAAAAAAAGGCUGCUGAUGACACAGUGGAUAGAGCACACACAAGCUCCCUGUCGGACUCCCUCAGCUCCUGCAUGUCUCCUUGGCUAACAUUUCAGAGCUUCUGAUCCUUCAGACAUCAGCUUCUUGAUACUGAAGAGAUUGUUCUACCUGAUGAGCCCAGGCCUAGAAGAUGGACUACAUCCAAGAAGCCUGGCCCAUCUAAGGCCAAGUCACAUCUUUAAGAAAUAUUUGAAAGCAUGUGUGCACAGGAUAAAGGUGCAAGGACCAAAGUCUCCUCAGACUUUCCAGCAUUCAGAGGUUCUGACAGACUCAGGUCAAAGGUUACGUCUGAAGCCUAGAUCAUGAAGAAGGCCCCACUCCACAGGAGAAGCCUGUGGCUGAUGCUGUUGCAACCAGGACUAUGAUUGUGAAACUUGUGUCUGUGGAUAACAGAUUCACGAAUCUUGUGCCCAGGUAUCCACAGGCCUUUUUUCAUACAUUCCUUGGUAUAACUUUGCAAGUCCUGACUUUGGAAGUGUUGGGUCCUUAUGCUAUCUCACUUGACAUAUAGUCCAAGAAAGAUUUUUACCCCUUGAAGGGGCUGGAAAUAGACUGGACUCACAGUUACCAUUAAAACUGAAGUUCUGUC
rnacentral:sRNA from 1 species